rnacentral:rRNA from 1 species
GAGUUUGAUCGUGGCUCAGAUUGAACGCUGGCGGCAUGCUUUACACAUGCAAGUCGAACGGCAGCACGGGGGCAACCCUGGUGGCGAGUGGCGAACGGGUGAGUAAUGCAUCGGAACGUGCCCAGUAGUGGGGGAUAACACAUCGAAAGAUGUGCUAAUACCGCAUACGCACUACGGUGGAAAGCGGGGGAGUCGUAAGACCUCGCGCUAUUGGAGCGGCCGAUGUCCGAUUAGCUAGUUGGUGGGGUAAUGGCCUACCAAGGCAACGAUCGGUAGCUGGUCUGAGAGGAUGAUCAGCCACACUGGGACUGAGACACGGCCCAGACUCCUACGGGAGGCAGCAGUGGGGAAUUUUGGACAAUGGGCGCAAGCCUGAUCCAGCCAUGCCGCGUGAGUGAAGAAGGCCUU